GACGUAGGAGGCGAGCGUUGUCCGGAGUUACUGGGCGUAAAGCGCGCGCAGGCGGCCUCGCGCGCCCGACGUGAAAGCCCCCGGCUUAACCGGGGAGGGUCGUUGGGGACGGCGGGGCUUGAGGGCGGGAGAGGUCGGUGGAAUUCCCGGUGUAGUGGUGAAAUGCGUAGAGAUCGGGAGGAACACCUGUGGCGAAGGCGGCCGACUGGGCCGACCCUGACGCUGAGGCGCGAAGGCGUGGGGAGCGAACGGG
rnacentral:rRNA from 1 species